ensembl:lncRNA
ACGGUGCGUUGCGAGAGAUUGUGUUCAUUGAAUAAUGAGGCAUGUCCGUACGAUUUGACUGGAUCAUCUUGUCGACGGAUGUCUGGGUGGUGUUGAAAAGUGCGCUUCGGACCUGUUAGAGAACCGUCCACUCCUCCAACCUGUCCCUACAGCUGCUCCCUGCCAAGCAUCCCGAGUUACAAAUAUACAACAACAACAAAAAACGGGGGGGAAAGAGGAUAUUCCGGCUUUAUUACUCGCUGUGUUUCCCUGUCCCCCACUGCCGCCGCCUGCUAAAAGGUGAACGUUUGCAUUGAUGCCGAUCACCCGGCAUCAGCAUAUUCCCUUCAUCGUUUCAGCUCGGACUCCCCCUAUCUGAGCGGAUGACACGCUGCAGCCUGCCCUUGUCCUUGGCUGUGGCUGCAGCGUACCAGACGGUGAUGGAGGAGCAGAGGAUGGACUCGAUGAUGGCCGUGUAAAAGUGCACCAUCAUCGUCUUUGGCAGGUUGAAUUUCUUCAGCUGCCUGAGGAAGAACAACCUCUGCUGCUUAUUGGUGAUGGAGCUGAUGUUCAGCUCCCACUUGAGGUCCUGGGUGAUGAUGGAGCCCAGGAAACGGAAGGAAUCCACAAUAGUGACGGGGGAGUCGCACAGAGUAAUGGGGGAAGGUGGGGCUCUGUUCCUCCGGAAAUCCACAACCAUCUCCACUGUCUUUAGGGCGUUGAGCUCUAGGUUGUUCUGGCUGCACCACGACACCAGAUUCCCACCUGUAGGCGGACUCAUCACCACCAGAGAUCAGUCCAACGAAGGUGGUGUCAUCCGCAAAUUUCAGGAGCUUGACGGACUGCACUGCAUGAAAAGUGAGAUUUUCGUCCCCGGAAACGCCCGGAAAUCUCCCUAAUUUCCGACCAUUUCC